GAUGAACGCUAGCUACGAGGCUAACACAUGCAAGUCGAGGGGCAGCAUGGGUCUUAGGCUUAGGCUAAGGCCGAUGGCGACCGGCGCACGGGUGAGUAACGCGUAUCCAACCUGCCUUACACUCUUGGACAGCCUUCUGAAAGGGAGAUUAAUACAAGAUGUUAUCAUGAGUAAGCAUUUUCGCAUGAUUAAAGGUUUACCGGUGUAAGAUGGGGAUGCGUUCCAUUAGAUAGUAGGCGGGGUAACGGCCCACCUAGUCUUCGAUGGAUAGGGGUUCUGAGAGGAAGGUCCCCCACAUUGGUACUGAGACACGGACCAA
rnacentral:rRNA from 1 species